rnacentral:rRNA from 1 species
AAUAAGGGGCUGCAAAACUCGUGCCAGCAGCAGCGGUAAAACGAGUGCCCCAAGCGUUACCCGGAAUUACUGGGCGUAAAGAGUGCGUCGGUGGUUCUGAUUAGUCCUCCGUUAAAACUCCCGGCCCAACCGGGAAGCUGCGGAGGAAACGGCAGAACUAGAGAAGGCGAGGGGUCUAUGGAACUCAUGGUGUAGGGGUGAAAUCCGUUGAUAUCAUGGGGAACACCAAAAGCGAAGGCAAUAGACUGGCGCCUGUCUGACACUCAAGCACGAAAGCGUGGGGAGCGAACGGGAUUAGAUACCCCGGUAGUCCACGCCCUAAACGAUGUUCUCUAGCUUUUUGGAGUAUCGACCCUCUGAGAGGCACAGCUAACGCGUUAAGAGAACCGCCUGGGAAGUACGGCCGCAAGGCUAAAACUCAAAAGAAUAGACGGGGGCUCGCACAAGCGGUGGAUUAUGUGGUUUAAUUCGAUGCUAAACGAAGAACCUCACCAAGGCUAGACAUCCAACUGAAGGGUCUGGGAAACCAGGUCUCUCCCACAAGGACAGUUGGACAGGUGAUGCAUGGUUGUCGUCAGUUCGUGGUUUGAAUUGUUCCCUUAAGUGGGGUAACGAACGCAACCCUUGUCGUCUGUUAUAAGUGUCAGACGAGACUGCCCUGCUCAGCAGGGAGGAAGCGAGGAUGACGCCAAAUCAGCAUGUCCCUCGACGCCUUGGGCUACACACAUAAUACAAUGGUCAUUACAGAGAGUCGCAAUAUCGUAAGAUGGAGCUAAUCUUUAAAAGUGGCCCCAGUUCGGAUUGAGGUCUGCAACUCGACCUCAUGAAGCCGGAAUCGCUAGUAAUCGCAGGUCAGCUAUACUGCGGUGAAUACGUUCUCGAGCCUUGUACUCACUGCCCGUCAAGCCAGGGGAGCCGGGAGUGCCCAAAGUGCCGUUUCGGCGGUCCUAAGGCAAGCUCGGUAACAAGGGUUAAGUCGUAACAAGGCACGGCUAGCGGAAGCUGGUCGUG